rnacentral:rRNA from 1 species
GACGAACGCUGGCGGCGUGCUUAACACAUGCAAGUCGAACGAUGAAGAAAAGAAUUGAAGCUUCGGCAGAAAUUCAUUUCGGAUUAGUGGCAGACGGGUGAGUAACGCGUGAGCAACCUACCUCUUACAAAGGGAUAGCCUCGGGAAACCGGGAUUAAUACCAUAUAACAUUGCGACGAAGCAUUUCGAUGCAAUCAAAGCUACGGCGGUAAGAGAUGGGCUCGCGUCCCAUUAACCAGAUGGUGAGGUAACGGCUCACCAUAGUAACGAUGGGUAACCGGCCUGAGAGGGUGAACGGUCACACUGGAACUGAGACACGGUCCAGAAUCCUACGGGAGGCAGCAGUGGGGAAUAUUGCACAAUGGAGGGAACUCUGAUGAAGCGACGCCGCGUGAGUGAUGAAGGAAUUCGUUUCGUAAAACUCUGUUCUAUGGGAAGAAAAGGACUGUACCAUAGGAGAAAGCUCCGGCUAAAUACGUG